rnacentral:rRNA from 1 species
GAUGAACGCUGGCGGCGUGCCUAACACAUGCAAGUCGAGCGUGAACCCUUGGAAUGAAACUUCGGUCGAAUGAAGAGGGGGAAAGCGGCGGACGGGUGAGUAACGCGUAGGUAACCUGCCCCAUACAGAGGGAUAGCCUCGGGAAACCGGGAUUAAGACCUCAUAACACCGUUUCUUCGCAUGAAGGGAUGGUCAAAGAUUUAUCGGUAUGGGAUGGGCCUGCGUCUGAUUAGCUGGUUGGUGAGGUAACGGCUCACCAAGGCGACGAUCAGUAGCCGACCUGAGAGGGUAAUCGGCCACAUUGGAACUGAGACACGGUCCAAACUCCUACGGGAGGCAGCAGUGGGGAAUAUUGCACAAUGGGCGAAAGCCUGAUGCAGCAACGCCGCGUGAGCGAAGAAGGCCUUUGGGUCGUAAAGCUCUGUCGGGAAGGAAGAUAAUGACGGUACUUCCCGAGGAAGCCCCGGCUAACUACGUGCCAGCAGCCGCGGUAAUACGUAGGGGGCGAGCGUUAUCCGGAAUUACUGGGCGUAAAGAGUGCGUAGGUGGUUGCUUAACGUGGGGUGAAAGGCAAUGGCUUAACCAUUGUGAGCCUCGCGAACUGGCGACUUGAGUGCAGGAAAAGAAAGCGG